UACGUAGGGUGCAAGCGUUGUCCGGAAUUAUUGGGCGUAAAGAGCUCGUAGGCGGUUCGUCGCGUCGGCUGUGAAAUCCCGAGGCUCAACCUCGGGUCUGCAGUCGAUACGGGGCGGACUGGAGUUCGGCAGGGGAGACUGGAAUUCCUGGUGUAGCGGUGAAAAUGCGCAGAUAUCAGGAAGAACACCCGUGGCGAAGGCGGCUCUCGUGGGACGGUACUGACGCUGAGACGCGAAAGCGUGGGGAGCGAACAGG
rnacentral:rRNA from 1 species